rnacentral:rRNA from 1 species
ACUCAAAGGAAUUGACGGGGGCCCGCACAAGCAGCGGAGCGUGUGGUUUAAUUCGAUGCAACGCGCAGAACCUUACCAGGGCUUGACAUCCAACUCACAGGGGCUGAAAGGCCCUGCCCGCAAGGGGUGUUGGACAGGUGCUGCAUGGCUGUCGUCAGCUCGUGCCGUGAGGUGUUGGGUUAAGUCCCGCAACGAGCGCAACCCCCGGGCCUAGUUAGCUUCCUAGGCCGACGGCCGGGACCAACCUGGAGGAAGGUGGGGAUGACGUCAAGUCAGCACGGCCCUCACGUCCUGGGCCACACACACGCUACAAUGGCCGGUACAGCGGGCGGUGCGAAGCCGUGAGGCGGAGCGAAUCCCGACAAAGCCGGCCCCAGUGCAGAUCGGGGGCUGCAACUCGCCCCCGUGAAGGCGGAGUUGCUAGUAACCGCGGGUCAGCACACCGCGGUGAAUACGUUCCCGGGCCUUGCACACACCGCCCGU